UUGACCUCGGAUCAGGUAGGGAUACCCGCUGAACUUAAGCAUAUCAAUAAGCGGAGGAAAAGAAACCAACAGGGAUUACCUCAGUAACGGCGAGUGAAGCGGUAACAGCUCAAAUUUGAAAGCUGCAACAGGCCGCGUUGUAAUUUGUAGAAGCUGCUUUGGGUGUCGGCCCGGUCUAAGUUCCUUGGAACAGGACGUCAUAGAGGGUGAGAAUNCCGUAUGUGAUCGGUGCCGUUGCCCCGUGUAAAGCGCUUUGACNAGUCGAGUUGUUGGGAAAUGCACUCAAAUGGGUGGGNAAUUUCAUCUAAAGCUAAAUAUUGCNA
rnacentral:rRNA from 1 species